GGGGCCAUAGCUCAGUUGGGAGAGCGCUUGCAUGGCAUGCAAGAGGUCGUCGGUUCGAUUCCGUCUGGCUCCA
rfam:Hyphomonas johnsonii MHS-2 contig7, whole genome shotgun sequence.